rnacentral:rRNA from 1 species
UGACGCUCAUGUACGAAAGCGUGGGUAGCAAACAGGAUUAGAUACCCUGGUAGUCCACGCCCUAAACGAUGUCAACUGGUUGUUGGGGGAGUGAAAUCCCUUAGUAACGAAGUUAACGCGUGAAGUUGACCGCCUGGGGAGUACGGUCGCAAGAUUAAAACUCAAAGGAAUUGACGGGGACCCGCUCAAUCGGUGGAUGAUGUGGAUUAAUUCGAUGCAACGCGAAAAACCUUACCUACCCUUGACAUGUCCGGAAUCUUGCAGAGAUGCGGGAGUGCCCGAAAGGGAAUCGGAACACAGGUGCUGCAUGGCUGUCGUCAGCUCGUGUCGUGAGAUGUUGGGUUAAGUCCCGCAACGAGCGCAACCCU